GGACUACAGGGGUUUCUAAUCCUGUUUGCUCCCCACGCUUUCGCGUCUCAGCGUCAGUCACUGUCCAGAAGGCCGCCUUCGCCACCGGUGUUCCUCUCGAUAUCUACGAAUUUCACCUCUACACCGAGAAUUCCGCCUUCCUCUCCAGGACUCAAGCUUUGCAGUUUCGAAUGCACUUCCUAGGUUGAGCCCAGGGCUUUCACAUCCGACUUGCAGAGCAGCCUACACGCGCUUUACGCCCAGUAAUUCCGAACAACGUUUGCACCCUCUGUCUUACCGCGGCUGCUGGCAC
rnacentral:rRNA from 1 species